CCGACGAGCGGAUAAGGCGGAAUACCUGAAGAGCAGUAGCGAAAAACACGAAAAGCCAGAAACAGAAACCCAAAACCCAAACCGAAACCGAAACAACUCGAACUUCGUGUGCAGUGUGGCAAACUGAAAAAGAAACUGAAACAGAAAACAUAAGAAACCGAAAGAAGCCGCCAGCAGCAGCGAAUCGAAGCGUAAAUAAACAGAGCACAUUGAAAGGAGCACGAAACACAAGAAAUUUAAAUAAAAUCCAACGCAGACAGCGAGAUAAAAGUUAUUCCGGAAAACGCGCGGAAAAGUGCAUUUCGAAUUUCAUUUAUUUUUUUUCGAGUGAAAGUUGGGCGCCCCAGGCCCAACAGCGCCCACCAAAAUGAACCGUUCGAACAGCUUUGUCAGCUCGCUGAAAUGGUGGCCACUGCAGGGUCACAACAACCAGCCGGUGGCUCCACCUGCCGGCGGCAACGGCGGCUACUCCCAAUCGGCGCCCAGCUCGCCCACCUCCAAUUGGCCACCGCCACUGCAGCAGCAUCAGAAUCCCACAACCGGCACCGCCCACCGCCUACUGCCGCCCAGCGCGCAAAAGAACGGGGUUGGUGGCGCCACCGUGGGCGUCACAUUCGGCAGCAGUGUGGCGGUGCAAAAGCUGCGCGAAUCCAAGUGGUUCAAGCCCGAGGAGCAGCGCAUCUUUUGCGCCGUCGUCGAGUGCGGAUUUGUGGUCGAGAUCCGCAGCAGCGCCGCAGCCGAGGCGGCAGCAGCAAAUGCAGCAGCAGCGGCCGCAGCAGCCGCCACCGGUGACAACGACCUCGACGUGGAUGCUCUCGAGGAGCUCGACUGCCCACUGACCAACCACCCAUCGCCGCCACACAGCCACAUUCACAACCACAGCAACAGCCACAGUCAAAUCCCAAAGCUGGUCAUACCGCGCAACGGGAGCAGUUUCCUGGAGACGCAGGACGAGAACGAGACGCCAGUCGCCUCCUGGUAUGGAAUCGUGCUCUGCAAGGUGGCCAAAGACAAUAAACCCAAGCCGGAGACCAUUGAGAUAUUUUCUGUGAAAAUACGUGAGAAUGGCACAUACAAGCUCAUCAAGAUGCAACUGGCGGAUAUCUGGAGUCACGGCUGGGAGCUGCGCAUCAAUAACUUUGCCGACAAGGAGAAGGUGCCGCACAACGAGAAGGACAUUCGCAAUCAGGUGUCGGUGGCGCGCAAAGCCAAGCAGAGUUUGUGGAACAACAAUAAGCAUUUCGUUUACUGGUGCCGCUACGGAAGUCGUCAGCAGGAUCUGCGGAAGCGACAGGUAACGACGAGUGCCAAUCACGUGCUGCUGCACCUGAUCAAUUGAUAAGUCAGCCGAGGAGUCAGCCGGCUGGUCCAGGAAAAAAUAGAGAAGAAUGAGAAAUAGGAGCGAUUGAAGCGCCGACACAGAAACCCAUCCUUUUCCUGCUCCUGCUACUGCUACUGCACCAUCCCAACUCCCCCCCCCCGCCAUCCAAACUGUGCAUUGAUUGUUGUAGUUGCAGCAGCAAAACAGCAAGAAAAAAAAACCCGGAACAAAAAAUCCCCCAAAAAAGCAAUGUAAAAACAUGAAAAACCCCACACACACCGACCAAAUCAUCAUACUCAAAACCAAGUACGCAACGUGAACUAAAAAACGAACUGAGGGAACCGGAAAAAAAGAACCAUUAACUUUUCUAGGGCCCCGAAUCUAUAUAUGCACAACCAUUAUCAUCCAACUACCGAUUCAUGCUUGCUUUGCUCAUACAAAUUCGCCAAAAGAAAACCCUGAGAAUUUUCCCCAACUAAACCAAUAGAAGCCGAAGAAUGCAUCCAACCACUUUACCCACAUUUUGCGUGAAACUCGAUCGAUCAUCUUUCUACCGAACUAAAGGCAUUAGCAUUACUAGAUUGAUUCUAGAUGCAAGUUUCUAGAUACUAGACAUGUAUAUUUUUUGUUAAGACUGCAAACUGCCCCAUUUAAUGUUGAUGAUGUGUGUAAUAUGUGUGCCACCAAAAGUCGUGAGCCUGCUUGUUCGAUUUACCAUUUCGUCAGGAUGCUCUUCUUGAUUUUCUCCCUCUCAACCAAUUUCAGUUAGAUUUUCCGGCUUCAAGGGCCCAAGAACGUUGAGUUCGCCUGCAUGUUGGCGGACGCAAUGUCUGGGUAAAUUGUACUGGAUUAUCUGGCGAGUGAAAUGCGAGAUUGGCAAAAUGUGGCGAAGAUCGGGGAAGUGGGCCAUGGCUGCCAAUUGGGGCACCUAACCAACUGAAACCUCCUAUUCUUGCGGCAUUUAUAUAUGUAUAUCAAUAUAUUCCUGCCACCUCAUCGCAGAGACCAGCCAGAGACAUGUCGGAGUGCGUGAAAUGGGGCAGCGUGGGCAUGAAUGCGGGCAUGCUGUUGGUGCUCAAUAAUCGGCAGAAAUGCCAUUCCCACUCCAAGUAGGACCCCUUCUCCUUGAGUUUCCAUUUCAAAAUCCGCAAGCACAAAACAUUGAAGUCGUACAAGUGAGAAGGCGUACAAGUAUUAAUGUUAAAUUCGGAUGAUAAGAUAAUUUAUGGCUUAAGAGCGCCAAGGGCGGUGGAAAAAAACCAAAAUGCAAAUACGCGUAUUAAAGUGCAAAGAUAGCAAGGAAAAUUCACAACACAGGGCGAGCGCUUUUCGGCAGUAUUAUAAUAAUAAUAAUAAUAGUAACUAUAUUACUAAAUAAUAAUGGCAAUUUAGAGCAAAGCCAGCGAAUCAUGCGUCACAAUAUACAAUACAAACGUCACACCCCCGCCCACAAAUAUGAAUAUGCUGUUGCAACUGAAGCUGCAACUUACAAUUUAUAGAGAAUACUUUUGUAUUUGCUAAAACAACCAUUGUCUACAUGAUGGCACAGAACGAGAGAGAGAGACACACACACACACAUAUACUGUGAAAUUCGAAAAGACUUAUUAAAUAUUUGUUUGUUUUUUUUUUCGUCCUAACUUUUUGUUUUCCAUGUGAUUAUAUAUUUAUAUACAUUGUGAAAAUGGCAACGCAUCUUAUGCAAGGCAACCUUUUUUGUUUUCUUUGUUAUUUAAGCGUAAUUAAGUAAUACCCAUUAAAAGUAUAUAUAUAUACAUAUAUCGAGCGACGGAUCGCUCCGCGUAGCCAGCUUAAUAAUUUACCAAUCUAGCAUUGUAAAACAAUCAAAAACAUUCGAAAUGUUUCGUUAUGUAUUUAGCGUGUCCACAUGACCGUAGAAAGACCCAAAACAGCAACUUAGAAGACGAAGACGACGACGACGAAGACUCAGAACCGAAACAGAAACCACACAGAAUUUGUAAGCAAAAAUGGCCUCUGCAUUGGCCGCAUAAAUAUUUUUGUACAUAAGGAACUGAAAUGGACGCUCCACGGACUCUACAUAUACGUAAUAAUCAAAAUCAAAGAGGAUGCAAGCACACACAAAAGAUUUACAAAGUAACAAAUAACAAAAAAAUAAAAAGAAAGAAAAAAAAAAAACAGAAGAAAAUCAUCGCUAGUUUGUAAGCUAUAUAUACAUAUAUAUACAUUAUUACUUAUUCUGUUUAAGUUUUGUCUUUUCUAAGCAAUUUAUAAAGUAUUUAUGGUAGUUCGUAUAUACAUUUCGACAAUG